CAGACCUUCAGAUGAUGCAGCCCUGGACAACAUCUUGAGUGCAACCUGAGAGAUCCUGAGCCAGAACCAUCAGCUAAGCUUUUCUUGAACCUCCUGACCCACAGAAAACUGUCAGAUUUUUCAGGGAUCCUCCGAGCUCAUUUACUAACUCUGUGGCUUCUUCGGUGUCCUGGUGAUCAACCUUGCCUGGGUUCUGAUGUAGACAGAAUGGAGUCUGAAUCCCGUCCCCCAUGGAGUAGCUGCGUGUCAGAGAAUGAGGCAGAGUCCCUUGGACAGCAAGGAGAUCAAAGAGGUCAAUCCUAAAGGAUAUCAACCCUGAAUAUUCAUGCUGAAGCUGAAGUUCCAACAGUUUGG
ensembl:lncRNA